rnacentral:tRNA from 1 species
GCGUCAGUAGUCUAGCCUGGUUAGGAUAUCGGCCUUCCAAGCCGACGGCGCGGGUUCAAAUCCCGCCUGACGCA